rnacentral:rRNA from 1 species
UACGUAGGGUGCAAGCGUUGUCCGGAAUUAUUGGGCGUAAAGAGCUCGUAGGCGGUCUGUCACGUCGGCUGUGAAAACCCGAGGCUCAACCUCGGGCCUGCAGUCGAUACGGGCAAACUAGAGUACUGCAGGGGAGACUGGAAUUCCUGGUGUAGCGGUGAAAUGCGCAGAUAUCAGGAGGAACACCGGUGGCGAAGGCGGCAUCCUGGACCAACACUGACGCUGAACAGCGAAAGCCCAGGGGAGCAAAACGGG